rnacentral:rRNA from 1 species
CAGCCGCCGCGGUAAUACGUAGGUGGCAAGCGUUGUCCGGAAUUAUUGGGCGUAAAGCGCGCGCAGGUGGUUAAUAAGUCUGAUGUGAAAGCCCACGGCUCAACCGUGGAGGGUCAUUGGAAACUGUUAAACUUGAGUGCAGGAGAGAAAAGUGGAAUUCCUAGUGUAGCGGUGAAAUGCGUAGAGAUUAGGAGGAACACCAGUGGCGAAGGCGGCUUUUUGGCAUGUAACUGACACUGAGGCGCGAAAGCGUGGGGAGCAAACAGGAUUAGAUACCCCCGUAGUCCCUGUCUCUUAUACC